rnacentral:misc_RNA from 1 species
GAUGAAGAACGUAGCGAAAUGCGAUACGUAAUGUGAAUUGCAGAAUUCAGUGAAUCUUCGAGUCUUUGAACGCACAUUGCGCCCCCUGGUAUUCCGGGGGGCAUGCCUGUCCGAGCGUCAUUGCUGCCCUCAAGCACGGCUUGUGUGUUGGGCCUCCGUCCUCCUCCCGGGGGACGGGCCCGAAAGGCAGCGGCGGCACCGCGUCCGGUCCUCGAGCGUAUGGGGCUUCGUCACCCGCUCUUGUAGGCCCGGCCGGCGCUUGCCGACACAUCAAUCUUUUUUCCAGGUUGACCUCGGAUCAGGUAGGGAUACCCGCUGAACUUAAGCAUAUCAAUAAGCGGAGGA